rnacentral:lncRNA from 1 species
CUGAGGGCUUCCUACACGCCUGGCCUUGGGCUUUCCCUCUAUUAACUCCCUCAAUCUUCACAUCAGCCUGCUGUGUGAUGACGGCAUCAUGGUUAUGCAAGAAACCCUCUUGUUUUCACAGAUGGCCACUAAAGCAUUUAACAGUGAAGUUACUUGCCUUAUAUAGUUUGCCACGAAGUCUAGGAUGUCCUUUAAGAUCUUUGGCAAAGAAGAAUGCUAGUAAUUGUUAAACCUAGUGAUGUAUUGAUUGCUUAAAACAUUUAUAAUAAACUGUUGUUUUUUUUUAAGAUAAUAAUAGCCAGGUUCGGUGGCUCAUGCCUGUAAUCCCAGCACUUUGGGAGGCCAAGGUGGGUGGAUCACUUGAGCUUAAGAGUUUGAGACCACUCUGGGCAACAUGGUAAAACCCCAUCUCUACCAAAAAUACAAAACUUAGCCGGGCAUGGUAGCAGGCACCUGUAGUCCCAGCUACUCAGGAGGCUGAGGUUGGAGGAUUGCUGGAGCCCGGAAAGUCGAGGCUGCAGUGAGCCAUGAUUGUGCCACUGCACUCCAGCCUGGGUGACAGAGAGAGACCCUGACUUAAAAAAAAAAAAAAAAGAAAGAAAAGAAAAGAGAAGGAUAUAACCCUAUGAGAUCGCCUGCCAUCAUUCCAAUUUUUUUCAAUGAGAAAAUCAGGGUACAAAGAUGCUAAGUGACUUACCU